UACGAAGGGGGCUAGCGUUGUUCGGAUUUACUGGGCGUAAAGCGCACGUAGGCGGGCUAAUAAGUCAGGGGUGAAAUCCCGGGGCUCAACCCCGGAACUGCCUUUGAUACUGUUAGUCUUGAGUAUGGAAGAGGUGAGUGGAAUUCCGAGUGUAGAGGUGAAAUUCGUAGAUAUUCGGAGGAACACCAGUGGCGAAGGCGGCUCACUGGUCCAUUACUGACGCUGAGGUGCGAAAGCGUGGGGAGCAAAC
rnacentral:rRNA from 1 species